ensembl:lncRNA novel transcript
GGGUGGUGGGCGUCUGAAAAGUCGCCACCAUGAGGAAGCUCUUCAGCUUCGGGAGACGCCUGGGCCAGGCGCUCCUGGACUCCAUGGACCAAGAGUACGCUGGUCGGGGGUACCACAUCCGGGACUGGGAACUGCGGAAGAUCCACAGGGCUGCCAUCAAGGGCGACGCCGCGGAGGUGGAGCACUGCCUGACGCGCAGGUUCCGGGACUUGGACGCCCGCGACAGAAAAGACAGGACUGUUCUACAUUUGACCUGUGCCCAUGGCCGUGUGGAAGUGGUCACCCUCUUGCUGAGCAGAAGAUGCCAGAUCAACAUAUAUGAUAGACUAAACAGGACACCUUUAAUGAAGGCUGUACACUGCCAGGAAGAGGCUUGUGCCAUUAUUCUCCUGGAACAUGGCGCCAAUCCAAACAUUAAGGAUAUCUACAGCAACACUGCUCUCCAUUAUGCUGUGUAUAAUAAGGGGACUUCACUGGCAGAAAAACUGCUUUCCCACCAUGCAAAUAUUGAAGCACUAAACGAGGAGGGAAACACUCCACUUUUGUUUGCUAUAAAUUCUAGGAGACAGCAAAUUGUGGAAUUUCUGUUGAAGAACCAGGCAAAUUUACAUGCCAUUGACAAUUUCAGAAGAACAGCCCUCAUGCUUGCAGUACAGCAUAACUCAUCAAGUAUCGUCAGCCUCCUCCUUCAACAAAAUAUAAAUAUCUUUUCUCAAGACCUGUUUGGCCAGACUGCCGAGGAUUAUGCUGUUUGUUAUAAUUUCAGAAGCAUUCAACAACAAAUUUUGGAACAUAAAAAUAAGAUACUUAAAAGUCAUCUUUGAAAUGAUAAUCAAGAAACAGCAGCUAUGAAGCCUUGAAUUUUGAAAAAAAGACAAGAAGGUGCAAAAGGUAAGACAUUUGAGUGUUUCUACUCUUAACCACGUAAAGAGGCUGGGAGACAAGGGAAGC